ensembl:snoRNA
GAUCAAUGAUGAAAAUAGCCAAAUCUGAGCAUCAGAAGACCUUCUGGUCUGCUUGGUGCAUGAUCUUCUUAGUUCUGAGA